UACGAGGGGGGCAAGCGUUGUUCGGAAUUACUGGGCGUAAAGGGCGCGUAGGCGGCCUUCUAAGUCGAACGUGAAAUCCCCGGGCUCAACCCGGGAACUGCGUCCGAUACUGGAAGGCUUGAAUCCGGGAGAGGGAUGCGGAAUUCCAGGUGUAGCGGUGAAAUGCGUAGAUAUUCGGAAGAACACCAGUGGCGAAGGCGGCUCACUGGACCGGUAUUGACGCUGAGGUGCGAAAGCGUGGGGAGCAAACAGG
rnacentral:rRNA from 1 species